rnacentral:rRNA from 1 species
GUGCGUGUCAAUGGUGAUGAGGGUACACCUGUUCCCAUUCCGAACACAGUAGUUAAGCUCAU